UACGUAGGGUGCGAGCGUUAAUCGGAUGUACUGGGCGUAAAGGGGGCGUAGGCGGCCGUGAAAGUCCGGUGUGAAAACUCACGGCUCAACCGUGGGACUGCGCUGGAAACUGCAAGGCUUGAGUCAGGUAGAGGGAGGCGGAAUUCCCGGUGUAGCGGUGAAAUGCGUAGAGAUCAGGAGGAACACCGAUGGCGAAGGCAGCCCCCUGGGCCUGUACUGACGCUCAUGCACGAAAGCGUGGGGAGCAAACAGG
rnacentral:rRNA from 1 species